GCCGGAGUGGUGGAAUAGGUAGACACCCAGGUUUUAGGUACCUGUGCCGCAAGGCGUGAGAGUUCGAGUCUCUUCUCCGGCA
rnacentral:tRNA from 1 species